rnacentral:misc_RNA from 1 species
GAAAUGCGAUACUUGGUGUGAAUUGCAGAAUUCAGUGAAUCAUCGAGUCUUUGAACGCACAUUGCGCCCUCUGGUAUUCCGGAGGGCAUGCCUGUCCGAGCGUCAUUGCUGCCCUCCAGCCCGGCUGGUGUGUUGGGCCCCGUCCCCCUUCCCGGGGGGACGGGCCCGAAAGGCAGCGGCGGCACCGCGUCCGGUCCUCGAGCGUAUGGGGCUUUGUCACCCGCUCUUGUAGGCCCGGCCGGCGCCAGCCGACCCCCUCAAUCUAUUUUUCAGGUUGACCUCGGAUCAGGUAGGGAUACCCGCUGAACUUAA